rnacentral:rRNA from 1 species
AGACCCGAAACCCGGUGAUCUAGCCAUGGGCAGGUUGAAGGUUGGGUAACACUAACUGGAGGACCGAACCGACUAAUGUUGAAAAAUUAGCGGAUGACCUGUGGCUGGGGGUGAAAGGCCAAUCAAACCGGGAGAUAGCUGGUUCUCCCCGAAAGCUAUUUAGGUAGCGCCUCGUGAAUUCAUCUCCGGGGGUAGAGCACUGUUUCGGCUAGGGGGCCAUCCCGGCUUACCAACCCGAUGCAAACUGCGAAUACCGGAGAAUGUUAUCACGGGAGACACACGGCGGGUGCUAACGUCCGUCGUGAAGAGGGAAACAACCCAGACCGCCAGCUAAGGUCCCAAAGUCAUGGUUAAGUGGGAAACGAUGUGGGAAGGCCCAGACAGCCAGGAUGUUGGCUUAGAAGCAGCCAUCAUUUAAAGAAAGCGUAAUAGCUCACUGGUCGAGUCGGCCUGCGCGGAAGAUGUAACGGGGCUAAACCAUGCACCGAAGCUGCGGCAGCGACACUCAGGUGUUGUUGGGUAGGGGAGCGUUCUGUAAGCCUGCGAAGGUGGCCUGUGAGGGUUGCUGGAGGUAUCAGAAGUGCGAAUGCUGACAUAAGUAACGAUAAAGCGGGUGAAAAGCCCGCUCGCCGGAAGACCAAGGGUUCCUGUCCAACGUUAAUCGGGGCAGGGUGAGUCGACCCCUAAGGCGAGGCCGAAAGGCGUAGUCGAUGGGAAACGGGUUAAUAUUCCCGUACUUGGUGUUACUGCGAAGGGGGGACGGAGAAGGCUAUGUUGGCCGGGCGACGGUUGUCCCGGUUUAAGCGUGUAGGUGUGUGUUCCAGGUAAAUCCGGUUCACUUUAACACUGAGGCGUGAUGACGAGGCACUACGGUGCUGAAGCAACAAAUGCCCUGCUUCCAGGAAAAGCCUCUAAGCAUCAGGUAACAUCAAAUCGUACCCCAAACCGACACAGGUGGUCAGGUAGAGAAUACCAAGGCGCUUGAGAGAACUCGGGUGAAGGAACUAGGCAAAAUGGUGCCGUAACUUCGGGAGAAGGCACGCUGACAUGUAGGUGAAGUGAUUUACUCAUGGAGCUGAAGUCAGUCGAAG